rnacentral:rRNA from 1 species
AUGGCCGCGGCCGUCCCCAAACCCAUCUUGCGACGAGUCACCCGCAUCAUUCGCGAUUUCCUCUGGCAUGGAUGCAAAGACGCACGCGCUGGCUGUUGCCUUGUCAGUUGGGCCAAGGUCUGUCGCCCUGUUGAGCUGGGCGGUCUCGGCGUGCGCGACCUUCACCACGCUGGCGUUGCGCUGCGCACUAGAUGGCUCUGGUUGCAGGCCACGGACCCGACGCGCCCAUGGCGCCACCUUCACUUGCCGCAUGAUCGCGAGGUUCAGCAAAUCUUCAGAGCUUCCACUGUCUGGACGAUUGGCGAUGGCAAUACUUGUAGGUUCUGGACAGAUCACUGGCUCCACGGCCAAUCCAUCGCCGAAAUCGCCCCCACCCUCGUGGCCUUGGUUCCACGGAGAAGAAGGCGCACGCGCCUUGUCUGCGACGGGCUGCGCAACCAAGGUUGGAUUUCUGACAUCACCGGCGCCCUUGGCCCACUGGCAACCCUCGAGUACGUCGACCUUUGGUGCUGCCUGCGGACGGUUUCCCUCUCACCCGUUUCGGACGCGCUCUCUUGGCGUUGGACCGCGACGGGAGCCUAUACUGCCAGCUCCUGCUACACCGCUUUGUUCGUUGGAUCGACUACCGCACCCUUCUGGAAGCUGAUCUGGCGCAGCUGGGCACCACUCAAUGUCAAGUUUUUCUUGUGUCUAGCUUCUCAAAAUCGAUGCUGGACUGCCGAUCGCCUGGCACGCCGCGGGCUCCCGCACCCCGCCGCUUGCCAGUUCCGCGACCAGGAUGACGAAACCCUGCACCACAUCCUCGCCGGCUGUGUGUUUGCGUGUAUUACUUAG